rnacentral:rRNA from 1 species
GGGCCCGCACAAGCAGUGGAGUAUGUGGUUUAAUUCGAUGCAACGCGAAGAACCUUACCGGGGCUUGACAUCCCGCGACGACCCGGGAGACCGGGAGUCCCUUCACAGGGCGCGGAGACAGGUGGUGCAUGGUUGUCGUCAGCUCGUGUCGUGAGAUGUUGGGUUAAGUCCCGCAACGAGCGCAACCCUUAUCGCCGGUUGCCAUCAUUAGGUUGGGCACUUUGGCGAGACUGCCGGUGACAAAUCGGAGGAAGGUGGGGAUGACGUCAAAUCAUCAUGCCCUUUAUGUCCCGGGCUACACACGUACUACAAUGGCUGCCACAACGGGAGGCGAAGCCGCGAGGCGGAGCGAAUCCCCAAAAGCAGCCCCAGUUCGGAUUGCAGGCUGCAACCCGCCUGCAUGAAGUCGGAAUUGCUAGUAAUGGCAGGUCAGCAUACUGCCGUGAAUACGUUCCCGGGCCUU